ACACUCUGUCCCGCAUGGGACGGGGUUGAAAGCUCCGGCGGUGAAGGAUGAGCCCGCGGCCUAUCAGCUUGUUGGUGGGGUGAUGGCCUACCAAGGCGACGACGGGUAGCCGGCCUGAGAGGGCGACCGGCCACACUGGGACUGAGACACGGCCCAGACUCCUACGGGAGGCAGCAGUGGGGAAUAUUGCACAAUGGGCGAAAGCCUGAUGCAGCGACGCCGCGUGAGGGAUGACGGCCUUCGGGUUGUAAACCUCUUUCAGCAGGGAAGAAGCGAAAGUGACGGUACCUGCAGAAGAAGCGCCGGCUAACUACGUGCCAGCAGCCGCGGUAAUACGUAGGGCGCAAGCGUUGUCCGGAAUUAUUGGGCGUAAAGAGCUCGUAGGCGGCUUGUUGCGUCGGUUGUGAAAGCCCGGGGCUUAACCCCGGGUCUGCAGUCGAUACGGGCAGGCUAGAGUGUGGUAGGGGAGAUCGGAAUUCCUGGUGUAGCGGUGAAAUGCGCAGAUAUCAGGAGGAACACCGGUGGCGAAGGCGGAUCUCUGGGCCAUUACUGACGCUGAGGAGCGAAAGCGUGGGGAGCGAACAGGAUUAGAUACCCUGGUAGUCCACGCC
rnacentral:rRNA from 1 species